rnacentral:rRNA from 2 species
AGUGAAGCGGCAACAGCUUCAAAUUUGAAAGCUGGCUUCGGCCCGCGUUGUAAUUUGGAGAGGAUGCUUUGGGCGAGGCUCCUUCUGAGUUCCCUGGAACGGGACGCCACAGAGGGUGAGAGCCCCGUAUAGUUGGAAGCCAAGCCUGUGUAAAGCUCCUUCGACGAGUCGAGUAGUUUGGGAAUGCUGCUCAAAAUGGGAGGUAAAUUUCUUCUAAAGCUAAAUACCGGCCAGAGACCGAUAGCGCACAAGUAGAGUGAUCGAAAGAUGAAAAGCACUUUGAAAAGAGGGUUAAAUAGCACGUGAAAUUGUUGAAAGGGAAGCGCUUGUGACCAGACUUGCGCCCGGCGGAUCAUCCGGUGUUCUCACCGGUGCACUCCGCCGGGCUCAGGCCAGCAUCGGUUCUGGCGGGGGGAUAAAGGCCCAGGGAAUGUGGCUCCUCCGGGAGUGUUAUAGCCCUGGGUGUAAUACCCUCGCCGGGACCGAGGACCGCGCUCU